rnacentral:misc_RNA from 1 species
UUAACGAUUUGCUUUGUACAUCAGGCGGCAAGGUUGUUCAGUGUUGAUAUCGGCAGAGGUCCACCCGUUUCCGGGAGACCUCCUUUGCGCCAAACGAGGGGCAAGAGGCAAAGGGUUGGUGCCAGGCGCCGGAGCGCCCGCUGACCCGGUAAUGAUCCUUCCGCAGGUUCACCUACGGAAA